rnacentral:rRNA from 1 species
ACAAUGGGCGCAAGCCUGAUGCAGCGACGCCGCGUGAGGGAUGGAGGCCUUCGGGUUGUAAACCUCUUUUGUUAGGGAGCAAGGCACUUUGUGUUGAGUGUACCUUUCGAAUAAGCACCGGCUAACUACGUGCCAGCAGCCGCGGUAAUACGUAGGGUGCAAGCGUUAUCCGGAAUUAUUGGGCGUAAAGGGCUCGUAGGCGGUUCGUCGCGUCCGGUGUGAAAGUCCAUCGCUUAACGGUGGAUCCGCGCCGGGUACGGGCGGGCUUGAGUGCGGUAGGGGAGACUGGAAUUCCCGGUGUAACGGUGGAAUGUGUAGAUAUCGGGAAGAACACCAAUGGCGAAGGCAGGUCUCUGGGCCGUUACUGACGCUGAGGAGCGAAAGCGUGGGGAGCGAACAGGAUUAGAUACCCUGGUAGUCCACGCCGUAAACGGUGGAUGCUGGAUGUGGGGCCCGUUCCACGGGUUCCGUGUCGGAGCUAACGCGUUAAGCAUCCCGCCUGGGGAGUACGGCCGCAAGGCUAAAACUCAAAGAAAUUGACGGGGGCCCGCACAAGCGGCGGAGCAUGCGGAUUAAUUCGAUGCAACGCGAAGAACCUUACCUGGGCUUGACAUGUUCCCGACGGCCCCAGAGAUGGGGUUUCCCUUCGGGGCGGGUUCACAGGUGGUGCAUGGUCGUCGUCAGCUCGUGUCGUGAGAUGUUGGGUUAAGUCCCGCAACGAGCGCAACCCUCGCCCCGUGUUGCCAGCGGAUUAUGCC